UACGGAGGAUCCGAGCGUUAUCCGGAUUUAUUGGGUUUAAAGGGUGCGUAGGUGGUUUGAUAAGUCAGCGGUGAAAGUUUGCAGCUUAACUGUAAAAAUGCCGUUGAAACUGUCGGACUUGAGUGUAAAUGAGGUAGGCGGAAUGCGUGGUGUAGCGGUGAAAUGCAUAGAUAUCACGCAGAACUCCGAUUGCGAAGGCAGCUUACUAAGCUACAACUGACACUGAAGCACGAAAGCGUGGGGAUCAAACAGGAUUAGAUACCCUGGUAGUCCACGCAGUAAACGAUGAUUACUAGCUGUUUGCGAUACACAGUAAGCGGCACAGCGAAAGCGUUAAGUAAUCCACCUGGGGAGUACGCCGGCAACGGUGAAACUCAAAGGAAUUGACGGGGGCCCGCACAAGCGGAGGAACAUGUGGUUUAAUUCGAUGAUACGCGAGGAACCUUACCCGGGUUUGAACGUAGGGAGACAGGAGUGGAAACAUUCUAUUCAGCAAUGACUGCCUACGAGGUGCUGCAUGGUUGUCGUCAGCUCGUGCCGUGAGGUGUCGGCUUAAGUGCCAUAACGAGCGCAACCCUUAUUUCCAGUUACUAACAGGUCAAGCUGAGGACUCUGGAGAGACUGCCAGCGUAAGCUGUGAGGAAGGUGGGGAUGACGUCAAAUCAGCACGGCCCUUACAUCCGGGGCGACACACGUGUUACAAUGGUAAGGACAAAGGGCAGCUACCGGGCGACCGGAUGCGAAUCUCUAAACCUUAUCUCAGUUCGGAUCGGAGUCUGCAACUCGACUCCGUGAAGCUGGAUUCGCUAGUAAUCGCGCAUCAGCCAUGGCGCGGUGAAUACGUUCCCGGGCCU
rnacentral:rRNA from 1 species